UUAUUGGGCUCUUCUUCUUUGGAUACUUCUAGGUUCAAGUUGAGGCUUUUAGUGGGCUUAUUUUGAUAAGUUUUUAUCUAUUAUCGACCUGAAUUAGCAAACUAGUCAGUUUUCAGAACAUAUUUAGAAAAUUAGUCAUUUUACUAGUCACAAUUUAUAAAAAAGUCACUUUUCACUGUUUGAUUUGUACAUUUAGAUUUGUACAAUACUUUUAGUAUACAUAUGUAUAUAGAUAUACACAGCGUACACUUACAUCUGUAUACUAAAAGUGUUGUACAAAUUUAAAUGUACAAAUCAAACAGUGAAAAGUGACUACUUUGCAAAUUGUGAAUAGUAAAAUAACUAGUUUUCUAAAUAUGUUUGA
rnacentral:sRNA from 1 species